CAGUCGCCACGGGAAUACGUAGGGUGCAAGCGUUAAUCGGAAUUACUGGGCGUAAAGCGUGCGCAGGCGGUUAUAUAAGACAGAUGUGAAAUCCCCGGGCUCAACCUGGGAACUGCAUUUGUGACUGUAUAGCUAGAGUACGGCAGAGGGGGAUGGAAUUCCGCGUGUAGCAGUGAAAUGCGUAGAUAUGCGGAGGAACACCGAUGGCGAAGGCAAUCCCCUGGGCCUGUACUGACGCUCAUGCACGAAAGCGUGGGGAGCAAACAGGAUUAGAUACCCGCGUAGUCCCUGUCUCUUAUAA
rnacentral:rRNA from 1 species